UGUACGGCGGUGGUUUUGUCGUCCGUUGUCUUUGUCAGUCGUCUGAUUACGUCUUAUUCGUUGUUACAAACAUUAUGAGGUGCUCUUCUUUCUCACUGGGUCUACUGCUUCGUUCUCAAGUCACAGGCUUCAAAACAGUCUGCACGAUCUACUGACAUUGAAUUAGCAGCUGGACAGAAUUAUCAUGAAGAAUUCCUUCAGAGUUAUAUCCUAUGAUAAGAAUAUAUAUCGGGCAGCAGAAACUUGCAAGUGUCAUUCAGGAGCUGCUGCUGAGGCUGGAGAAGUAGCCAAGGACGAGGUCAUUCCAACGUAACAUCAUUGCAGUUGAAGCUGUCUUAAUUUAAUUAAUAUUACGAAUUGCCGUUAUAAUCAUUUAAAUGGCGUCUGAAUAUUCUAAAGUCUAUUGUCAGACAGACAUACAGACGUAUUGUCAAUUAGCAAAGCUGUUUAGUUUACAUGAGCUAUCAUA